rnacentral:pre_miRNA from 1 species
AGUGAAAUAACUGGAGCAUAUGGUAGGUAUGUGUUUAACUUUUUAAGAAACUGCCAAAUUUUUUUCCAAAGUGGUUAUACCAUCUUACAUUUCCAACAGCAGU